rnacentral:lncRNA from 1 species
CCUUCUCUCCCACAGUUUCUUUCUCCAAAAGAUCACUUUUUUCUGCCUUAUCUUUCACAGUAUCAUCUUUUUCUUUCUUAUCCACAUCUUGCUUCUUCAAACUCGCCUUCGGCACCGUAUUUCUCUCAUCCACCUCUUCCUCUUCCUCAUCUUCAUCAACAUCCCAACUCAGUUCCUCCUCUUCUUCCCUAGAAAUCGCUCUAUUAACAAGCUUAACCCUCAUAUCCUCAGCUUGCUUAAGCUUAAAAACCUUAUAAAAGUACCUACACCAAAACGUCUCAUGAUCAACCCCAUUUGAAACACCAACAACCCUUUUAUAAAUACUUCCCAUUUCCCCAUUCUCUUCCAUCAAUCUCUCAAUCUCUUCCUUUUUCUCUUCCAAACCGAACCCUGAUUUCCACUUCUUGUAAUCCUCCAAAUCCUCUGGCUCCUCGAUGUAAGUAUUAAUAUCCCCUUGAAUUGCCCUCACUUGAGCAUCGAAUCGACUGUACCGUUUCGAGUUCAAGCUCCGUUGG